ensembl:lncRNA
GCUGCCCGCCGGGCCCGCUGCCCGCCGGGCCCGCUGCCCGGCCCUUCUUGCACUGCCCACCGCGCAUCCGAGCCGGCCUCCAGCCGCGGGCGCGCUUGGAAAACUUGCUUGUACCAGCAGUUUGCCACAGAAAGCAGGAAGAAGAUACACAAAUUCUUGGUCAAAUUGAAUUCUGUUUCACUAGAGAACUACAGAUGAGAAAUUGUACUGACCCAGAGGUAGAUCAUCCCUUCCUACAAGAUGCUUUAUUGACUGAUGAGACUUUCAUGAGUUAUGGACUCUCUGUCUGUGAAGAUGGCCCAGUUUUCUAUCCCCCUCCAGAAAAGUCAUACCAUUAAUGUUUGGAUGAUUGGAAAUAUUUGGUAUUUGGUCAGAUGCCUUGUGUUACAGGAAGCAAGAAAGUUUCACGAAACGGUUUGACUAAAUACAUGUUUAUUUUUAAAUUUAAUUUUAGUGGAUCUUCCCAAUGUUUUACAAAGGAAAUAGAGAAGAAAAGGUAUAUAUCACCUCUGAAAAGCUAGGUUGUUUUGUUUUUAAAUAAAAUGUACAAAGUUUGUGUUUAUUUUCUAAACUAAAAGAAUGGUUUAAGAAACAUAGACCUUAUUAAAGAAACAUAAGUCUUAGUAAAUUGUUUUACUAUUUGCUAUGUGAUGAUUUGUACAAUUCAAAAUGUGCUCCUCCUAUGGUGGAUGGUACCUUUGGAUAUCUGGAGUCUUUUCUUGUUUGUGCAUCAUAGGAGGACCACAGUGCAGGUACCCAGAAGGUUUCUCAGAAAUAAUGUUGCAUUACCAGGGUAUUCUUCCAGUACUCUAAUGUGGCUUACACUAGAAUAAAGGCCACAGAUGUUAUAUAUUGCACUUUUUUCAGAUUUUUUUAAUACCUUGAUACUUUGUUCUGAUUUUUUUUCCUCUCUAAAAAUACUGUUAUAUGUGAUGGCUCUCUAGAAAGGGAGGGAUACUUGGAUACAUUGUGAUAGUAUAAGAAACAGAAAAUAUCAAUAACAUUAUUUAAGAAGGAAAGAAAAAAGAAGAAAGAAAAGGAGAGCUAGACUGUUUAAUGGGAAUUACUCAAGGCAGGGUAAAUAUGCAAUAGUACACAGGCUAGAUUUAGCAAAGUUCACUGUAGUAAAUGGAGAAUAGACCAUAAAAAAUAUAGUUAAGCUAGUUGUAGAUUGGUUUGAAAGGAAGGCCAUGCAGAUGCUACCACAAAAUCCUGGAUAACUCCUCAUGAGAGCUGUUUCUUAAAAUGAUCAUAUAAUGUUAUCACAGAAUCUCAGCUAUUUCAGGAACUAGAGUCCCCUUAACAAUAUACUUUUUUAAAAAGUAGUCUGAGUGACUACUUUCUAUAGUAGCCUUUAUAUGAAGACUCCAAAGAGGGGAAAUCUAAUACUUCCUGAGAUAACCCACUUCAUUUUUGAACACUUCUGUCAGGAAGAUUUUCCUUAUGUCAAGCUUAUAUAUGACUCUGCUACUUCUAACCCCUGGAAAUCAGUUCUACCCUGAGACAAGAACAGUCUACUCCCUUUCCCACAUGACAUUACUCCAAAAAAAAAAAAAUACUUGUCCUUUGCUCUUCCAAAACAAUUUCAAAAAACCAUGCAAUGGGAAGAAAGAUGUUUAGUAAACAUCUGAAACUGUUUACAUCAUUAACAUUCCCAGCUGCUGAGGAAGAGCAAUCAGUUACACUUUGAAUGCAAGAAUAAUGUGUACUUCAGUUUCUAGGGAGAGAAAGGAGGACAGGGUGCCUUUUCUGCUGCCCUGCUUCCUUUUACUGGCUUUUGAUCUGGGAACUGGAUAUGUACCUCUCCUGAAUAGGUCUCUAAAGAAUGAGAGUACAAUGGACAUUGGCAGUAGCAUCCAGUUAUUUCUGGACUGGUUAGACACAAUGAGCUCAGAGCUCUAAUUACUCAAGGGACAGAGAGGAUUAUGAGCAAAGGUUUUGUAAUUGUUUAAAAAAAGGGUUUUAUAAUUAUAAAAGAGUUAGAAUCUGGCCUUUCCUGGGCUCAUGUCCUUGAGAUUCACAAAAGAUCAAAGAAAUAGGAACAGCUGAAAGCUUAGAAAAUGAGGCCUAUUAGUCAGACUUACCAUGAAGCAAAAAAGAAAAAAAUUAGUAAAUUUUGGCUUCCUCUUUCUCCUUUCACUUAUCUGCUUGACAACAUGGAGAUCCUAGAUCCAAGAAUAAAAAAUUAUAUCCUCUACUGUACUAUAAUAUUGAUAGUUGGUGUCAUCUGUUCUUAGUUUUGUCUGCUUCUGUUAAACAUAGCAAAAUUUUCAUGUUAUUUCCCUCUGUCCUCCACACUUGAAUUCAUUAUUCAACUCAUUAUUCAUUAGACAUAAAAUAACUUUUUCUUUCUUUGUCAGCCAAAUUCCCUUUAUAUCCUUUAAAGCCCAGCUCAAAGAUAAUUUCUUCUGUGUAGUCUUUCCUAAACCCAGACGCUUAUUUUUUUUAUUCAAGUUAUUUAUUUUCAAAACAUAUGCAAGCAUAAUUUUUCAACAUUGACCCUUGAAAAACCUUGUGUUCCAAUUUUCCCCCUCUUUCCCUCCUAACCUUUCCCCUAGAUGGCAUACAAUCUAACAUAUGUUAAACAUGGUAAAAUAUAUGUUAAAUCCAACAUAUGCACAUAUAUUUAAUUAUCUUGCUGCACAAGAAAAAUCAGAUUAAAAUUUUUUUUUAAAUAAGAAAGAAAAUAAAAUUCAAGCAAACCACACCAAAAAAAAUGAGAAUGCUAUGUUGUGAUCUACCCUCAGUUCCCACAGUUCUCUCUUUAGGUGUAGAUGGCUCCCUUCAUCACAAGAUCAUUGAAACUGGC